AACGAACGCUGGCGGCGUGCUUAACACAUGCAAGUCAGGGAGAAAGUCUCUUCGGGGAUGAUUAAACCGGCGCACGGGUGAGUAACACGUGAGUGACCUGCCUUUUAGACUGGAACAACUUACCGAAAGGUGAGCUAAUGCCGGAUGAGUUAUAUAAGUGCAUGUUUAUAUAGGAAAAGUUGGGGAGACCUGACGCUGAAAGAUGGACUCGCGUCCCAUUAGCUAGUUGGUAGGGUAAUGGCCUACCAAGGCGACGAUGGGUAGCCGGCCUGAGAGGGUGGCCGGCCACACUGGGACUGAGACACGGCCCAGACUCCUACGGGAGGCAGCAGUGGGGAAUUUUGCGCAAUGCUCGUAAGAGUGACGCAGCGACGCCGCGUGAAUGACGAAGGCCUUCGGGUCGUAAAGUUCUUUCGACAGGGAAGAAAAUGCCUAUAAGUAACUGUGUAUGUAU
rnacentral:rRNA from 1 species